AAUAAAUUUUUUAUGGUUUAAAAAAUUUAUUAUGAAUUUAUUUUACAUAUAAAUUUUAGUGUUAAUUAUUAUUUAUUUAAAUAAUAUUUAAUUUUUAUAGUAGUAAUUAAUUUUAAAAAUUUAAGAAAUUAAGAUUUAGUAAUAUUUAUAUAAUUAAUAACUAAUUUUGUGCCAGCAGUUGCGGUUAUACAAAAGUUAAUUUAAAUUUUUUUAGUAAUUAAUAAUUAAAAGUAUGAAUAAUUUAAAACUAAAAUUAUUAGGUGAAAUUUUAAUUUAAUAAAAAAAUUAUUUAUAAAUUAUGAUUUAAUAAAUUUAAUAAAAAACUAGGAUUAGAUACCCUAUUAUUAAAAUUUAAAUUAAUAAUACUUAAAUAGUAGAUAAUUUUAUUGAAACUUAAAUAAUUUGGCGGUAUUUUAGUUUAUUUAGAGGAAUCUGUUUAUUAAUUGAUAAUCCACGAAUAAAUUUACUUAAUUUAAUAUUUUGUAUAUCGUUGUUAAAAAAAUAUUUUUUAAUAAAAAUAAUAUUUUAAAAUUUAAAUUUAAAAUUAAAUCAGAUCAAGAUGCAGAUUAUAAUUAAGAAUAUAAUGGAUUACAAUAAAUUUAUUUAAUUGGAUUUUAAUGUGAAAUAAUUAUUUGAAAAUGGAUUUAAAUGUAAUUUUAUUUAUUUUAAUAAAAUGAUUAAAUAUUAAAAUAUGUACAUAUUGCCCGUCGCUUUCAUUAAUAAAUUGAAAUAAGUCGUAACAAAGUAGAGGUACUGGAAAGUGUUUCUAGAAAGAU
rnacentral:ncRNA from 1 species